UAUUCGUUGUGUGAGUUUAUGUCUUGGCUAGGUAAAUCUUAGCUGGGUGAAUCGAAAAUCUAAGAGUAUUUUACAAGGUUUUAAAAACCGGACCGGACCGGCCGGUCGAACCGGUUGAUCCGUGAACCGGUACGGUAGCCGAGUUCUGUGAAAGGCAAAACCGUUUUGGAAUAAAAAUCGGAUUGGACCGCGGUUGAACCGCCGGUUCUCGGCUGAACCGCGGUCCAAACCGGUCCAUGCAGUUACCGGUUCAACCUGCAUAAAAAUAUAACAGUGUUUUUCUUUUGUUUCUCUUCCUUGCAGUGCACGCACGCAGACGCAGUCCUCAACUGCUGCAGCGGACGAAUUUCUCCGACGAAUUUCCUGUUCUUUGCCGACGACGGUUUGAAUACGGCUGCCGAUGACCACGCUGCCGCCGAGUGGUGUCGGUUUGCAGGCUUACAAGGCAGCAGUUUCAGGGCGACUUUCCAGGCUCAGACGUUGGCUGACGACGGCGAUUUCCGUUGCUGUUCUGACCGGCGACUUCUCAGGCAACGACGGGAAGCUAGUGUUUUCUUAUCGGCUUGUUGUUCCAGAUUUUUGAAAUUGGUAUUAUGGUUGUACAAAUACUUGAAUUGACGCCAAAUCGGAGCAGCCAACCACUUGCCAACUUCAA